rnacentral:tRNA from 1 species
GCGUUGGUGGUUUAUUGGUUAGCAUGGUUGCCUUCCAAGCAGUCGAUCCGGGUUCGAUUCCCGGCUAACGCA